AUUGAACGCUGGCGGCAGGCCUAACACAUGCAAGUCGAGCGAGCGGCGGACGGGUGAGUAAUGUCUGGGAAACUGCCUGAUGGAGGGGGAUAACACUUGGAAACGGUAGCUAAUAUCGCAUACCAUCAGAUGUGCCCAGAUGGGAUUAGCUGGUGGGUGGGGUAAAGGCUCACCUAGGCGACGAUCCCUAGCUGGUCUGAGAGGAUGACCAGCCACACUGGAACUGAGACACGGUCCAGACUCCUACGGGAGGCAGCAGUGGGGAAUAUUGCACAAUGGGCGCAAGCCUGAUGCAGCCAUUCCGCGUGUAUGAAGAAGGCCUUCGGGUUGUAAAGUACUUUCAGCGGGGAGGCGUUACCCGCAGAAGAAGCACCGGCUAACUCCGUGCCAGCCGCCGCGGUAAUUC
rnacentral:rRNA from 1 species